rnacentral:rRNA from 1 species
GAGUUUGAUCCUGGCUCAGGACGAACGCUGGCGGCGUGCUUAACACAUGCAAGUCGAGCGACGCGCUCCUUCGGGGGUGACGGAGCGGCGAACGGGUGAGUAACACGUGGGCAACCUGCCCUCAGCUCUGGGACAACUCCGGGAAACCGGGGCUAAUACCGGAUACGACAUCGGAUCGCAUGGUCUGGUGUGGAAAGUUUUUCGGCUGGGGAUGGGCCCGCGGCCUAUCAGCUUGUUGGUGGGGUGAAGGCCUACCAAGGCGACGACGGGUAGCCGGCCUGAGAGGGCGAUCGGCCACACUGGGACUGAGACACGGCCCAGACUCCUACGGGAGGCAGCAGUGGGGAAUAUUGCGCAAUGGGCGAAAGCCUGACGCAGCGACGCCGCGUGGGGGAUGAAGGCC